rnacentral:rRNA from 1 species
AGUGAACGCUGGUGGCGUGCCUAAUACAUGCAAGUCGAAGGAAGUGGCGCACGGGUGUGAAAUAUAUAGCUAAAACGCCCCUUGCUGGAGGACAACCGUCAGAAAUGACUGCUAAUACUCCAAAGCACGGGAUGAGACGCUAUCGGAUCAGCUAGUCGGUGGGGUAACGGCCUACCGAGGCUAUGACGCGUAAAUGGUCUGUGAGGAUGAGCAGUCAGAUUGAAACUGAGACACGGUCCAAACGUCUACGGGAGGCAGCAGUAGGGAAUUGUGCGCAAUGGGGGAAACCGUAACGCAGCAUCGCCGCGUGGAGUAUGACACGUUUCGGGGCGGAAACUCCUUUUGUUAGGGAAGCGGUACCUAACGAAGAAGCACCGGCUAACUCCGUGCCAGCAGCCGCGGUAAUUC